GAUGAACGCUGACAGAAUGCUUAACACAUGCAAGUCAACUUGAAUUUGGGUUUUUAACUUAGGUUUGGGUGGCGGACGGGUGAGUAACGCGUAAAGAACUUGCCUCACAGGUAGGGACAACAUUUGGAAACGAAUGCUAAUACCUAAUAUUAUGAUAAUAGGGCAUCCUAUAAUUAUGAAAGCUAUAAGCGCUGUGAGAGAGCUUUGCGUCCCAUUAGCUAGUUGGAGAGGUAACGGCUCACCAAGGCGAUGAUGGGUAGCCGGCCUGAGAGGGUGAUCGGCCACAAGGGGACUGAGACACGGCCCUUACUCCUACGGGAGGCAGCAGUGGGGAAUAUUGGACAAUGGACCAAGAGUCUGAUCCAGCAAUUCUGUGUGCACGAUGAAGUUUUUCGGAAUGUAAAGUGCUUUCAGUUGGGAAGAAAGAAACGACGGUACCAACAGAAGAAGUGACGGCUAAAUACGUGCCAGCAGCCGCGGUAAUACGUAUGUCACGAGCGUUAUCCGGAUUUAUUGGGCGUAAAGCGCGUCUAGGUGGUUAUGUAAGUCUGAUGUGAAAAUGCAGGGCUCAACUCUGUAUUGCGUUGGAAACUGUAUAACUAGAGUACUGGAGAGGUAAGCGGAACUACAAGUGUAGAGGUGAAAUUCGUAGAUAUUUGUAGGAAUGCCGAUGGGGAAGCCAGCUUACUGGACAGAUACUGACGCUGAAGCGCGAAAGCGUGGGUAGCAAACAGGAUUAGAUACCCUGGUAGUCCACGCCGUAAACGAUGAUUACUAGGUGUUGGGGGUCGAACCUCAGCGCCCAAGCAAACGCGAUAAGUAAUCCGCCUGGGGAGUACGUACGCAAGUAUGAAACUCAAAGGAAUUGACGGGGACCCGCACAAGCGGUGGAGCAUGUGGUUUAAUUCGACGCAACGCGAGGAACCUUACCAGCGUUUGACAUCUUAGGAAUGAGACAGAGAUGUUUCAGUGUCCUUGCGGGG
rnacentral:rRNA from 1 species